rnacentral:rRNA from 1 species
GUAGGUGGCAAGCGUUGUCCGGAAUUAUUGGGCGUAAAGCGCGCGCAGGCGGUCCUUUAAGUCUGAUGUGAAAGCCCACGGCUCAACCGUGGAGGGUCAUUGGAAACUGGGGGACUUGAGUACAGAAGAGGGAAGCGGAAUUCCAAGUGUAGCGGUGAAAUGCGUAGAGAUUUGGAGGAACACCAGUGGCGAAGGCGGCUUUCUGGUCUGUAACUGACGCUGAGGCGCGAAAGCGUGGGGAGCAAACAGGGAUUAGAUACCCUGGUAGUCCACGCCGUAAACGAUGAGUGCUAAGUGUUAGGGGGGUUUCCCGCCCCCUUAGUGCUGCAGCUAACGCAUUAAGCACUCCGCCUGGGGAGUACGGCCCGCAAGGCUG